rnacentral:rRNA from 1 species
UUAGUAGCGGCGAGCGAAAAGAAAAUAGUUCAGCACUGAGUUAUUUUGUUUUUAUAGCAAAUAUAAGAUGCAGUGUAUGGAAUAUCUAUAAUCUAGUAUGAUAAAUUAACAGUCCAAGUCCUUCUUAAAUGAGGCCAUUUACCCAUAGAGGGUGCCAGGCCCGUAGUGACGUUAAUGAUUACUAGAAGAUAUUUCUUAAGAGUCGUGUUGCUUGAUAGUGCAGCACUAAUUGGGUGGUAAACUCCAUCUAAAACUAAAUAUAACCAUGAGACCGAUAGCAAACAAGUACCGUGAGGGAAAGUUGAAAAGAACUCUGAAUAGAG